rnacentral:lncRNA from 1 species
AAGUGUCUUGGUUCACAGCAAAGAGGACAAAGAAAACAGCAAGUUUUAGGGGGUUGAAUCCUGGAUUCCCCUGGCAAACACCAUUCUACUUUCCGUCUCUAUGAAUUUGACUACUCGAAGUACCUCAUGUGAAAUGUUGGUGCCAAAUGAACUUUUCUGGUUCUUCUGAAUAUGCCACUGUUGCUGGAGAAAUGUCACUGCUAGAGAACAGAAGACUAUUAUUCCAAAGGGUAUUUGAGACUGACUGAAUCAGGUCUGGAACAUUAUUGAAAUGAGACCCACAAAAGAAGAGAUACUGAGAUCAUUUGCUCCAGAAGAAGCUGGUUGCCAUGUCUUGAGGACAGUAAACCCUCUGGGGAGGUUCCUGUGGUAAGGAACAAGGGCUCCUGGCAAUAGCCUCUGAGUGAGCCACCUUGAAAAUGGAUUGUCCAGCCCCAGUCAAGCUUUCAGAUGACUGUAGCUCCUGCCAAUGUCUUCACCACAACCUCAUGAGAUCCCAAGCUACAACCACUCAGAACUUCAUCUUUUGGGAAGCACCAGGGAGAGCUGCCUGUGCCUGGCAGAAGCUGCCCAUGCCCCACUGAUACCCCACAGUACUUCCUGUUCUGCUUAGUACUCCUGCUUCUUUCUACAAACAACUGUGAUUCUCUACCUGGGAGCUUCCUCUGGCCACAGGAGCCUGCUCACCUGAUUGGGACACCCUAGCAGUACUGGUGAGUUAUAGCUUCCAGGAGCAGCUCUCUUCCAGCAAAGGAAAGGGUUGGCUGAACAGUACUUCAGCUGCCUCUGCUAGUGUGUGGGGCAAUGUUAAGACAUGCUCCACACAGUAAUGCAGGGGUCCCAGCAAGGUGGAGCCCCACUUGUCCACAGUAGUAACUUGCCAGUAGAUGCCUGCAUUGACUUUCUUCCCUGCUGUGCCUUUCUUUCCAUUCCCCUGCCAGUGCUUCCUGGAAUCAUCUCCCUCAUCAAUCAUUUGUUCCUAAAUUCUGUCUGAGUCUGUUUCUGAGGAAACCCAACCUGAGUCAUCGUCCCUCUUCUCCCCUCCUCACAUUCUCUUCACUGGGGGAGGAUGGAUUGAGUUGACUGGCAAAUUCGGGAGAAGGAGUUUGCAUCGGAGUGCGUGACUCAGCUGAGGCUGGGCUCUGUUUCUUCAGAAUGAAGUGCAUUCAGAUUCGAUGUGUAUCCUGUCUCUGGGAAGCCCCAUGCUCUGCUCAUCUUAGCAUGAUUACUAAGGUACACUCUGCCCUUGCAAGGGGAAGGCCCGAGAUUUGCUGCUGGCAGGCUCAGUGGGAGUUGGAUGUUUUAUGUAACCUGAUUGUGGAUAUAGAUCAAUUCAUGCUUUUCAAUUCAGUCCUCUCUCUAAUAAACUGCUGUCAUAAG